rnacentral:rRNA from 1 species
UACGUAGGCAGCAAGCGUUGUCCGGAGUUACUGGGCGUAAAGGGUGCGUAGGCGGCUUCUUAAGUCUGGUGUGAAAUCUCCCGGCUCAACUGGGAGGGUGCGCCGGAUACUGAGGGGCUAGAGUGUGGGAGAGGAAAGUGGAAUUCCUGGUGUAGCGGUGAAAUGCGUAGAUAUCAGGAGGAACACCGGUGGUGUAAACGGCUUUCUGGACCAUAACUGACGCUGAGGCACGAAAGCGUGGGUAGCAAACAGG